ACUCCUACGUGGAGGCUGCAGUGGGGAAUCUUCCGCAAUGGACGAAAGUCUGACGGAGCAACGCCGCGUGUAUGAUGAAGGUCUUCGGAUUGUAAAGUACUGUCUUUGGGGAAGAAUGACUGGUUUGAGAAUAUUGAGUCAGUAUGACGGUACCCAAGGAGGAAGCCCCGGCUAACUACGUGCCAGCAGCCGCGGUAAUACGUAGGGGGCAAGCGUUGUCCGGAAUUAUUGGGCGUAAAGGGCGCGUAGGCGGAUAGUUAAGUCCGGUGUGAAAGAUCAGGGCUCAACCCUGAGAGUGCAUCGGAAACUGGUUAUCUUGAGGACAGGAGAGGAAAGUGGAAUUCCACGUGUAGCGGUGAAAUGCGUAGAUAUGUGGAGGAACACCAGUGGCGAACGCGACUUUCUGGACUGUAACUGACGCUGAGGC
rnacentral:rRNA from 1 species